rnacentral:rRNA from 1 species
UACAGAGGUCCCGAGCGUUGUUCGGAUUUAUUGGGCGUAAAGGGUGCGUAGGCGGCGGUGUAAGUUGGGUGUGAAAUCCCGGGGCUUAACCUCGGAAUUGCAUUCAAUACUGCUUCGCUUGAGUACUGGAGAGGAGGCUGGAAUUUACGGUGUAGCAGUGAAAUGCGUAGAUAUCGUAAGGAAGGCCGGUGGCGAAAGCGAGCCUCUGGACAGUUACUGACGCUGAUGCACGAAGGCCAGGGGAGCAAACGGG